AUUCUAAACAAGAUAUAUCUGCUUAGCAAGUUAGUUUGGGAGUGUUAUUUUUAACUUUGUAAUAUCUAAUACUUUAUCCAAUACCACUUCAAUUUUGUUGGUUUUAUUUAUUUGAACCAUAAGAGUGUUUCUGCAUAAUACAUGUUGAAGAGACUUUUUAGACAAUAAUUUUGUAGAUGGGAGCAGUGUUAUCAAUGUUUUCAUCUAUGGGAAUUAUCAUGUCUAUGCAUUUUUUAACUGUUAGAAUGUUCCAUAUUGACAAUGAAGAAAUGGACCUUACAAAUUGUCCAUGUUUAAUACAAGUCGGUGAUUGUGGACUUUGUUUUAAAUUUCUGUGUUAAAAUUGCAAUCUAUUUAAAUUUUGUUUAGACAUUUUUUAGCCUGAUUGAUGGGUUACCAGAUUGUUUUACUUGCAAAUGAGGCCAACAUUUUUAAUAUGCUACAAGACAUAUUUGGUACAAGUGUUUUGAGCAUUGCACUAAGUGGAAACACUGUUUCUUUGCAACAUUUUCUUGAGGAUACAUGUGCUUAUUGAAAAUGUGCCUUUGGCAACUGCAGGUUGACAGGAGUGAUCCUAAUG
rnacentral:misc_RNA from 1 species